rnacentral:rRNA from 1 species
AAACGGACUCAUAUUGGAACCUAGUGAUAUAUGAGUUAGUGGCGGACGGGUGAGUAACGCGUGGGUAACCUGCCUUACACAGGGGGAUAACACUUACAAAUAGGUGCUAAAACCGCAUAAGCGCACAGCUUUGCAUGAAGCAGUGUGAAAAACUCCGGUGGUGUAAGAUGGACCCGCGUCUGAUUAGCUUGUUGGCGGGGUAACGGCCCACCAAGGCGACGAUCAGUAGCCGGCCUGAGAGGGCGGACGGCCACAUUGGGACUGAGACACGGCCCAGACUCCUACGGGAGGCAGCAGUGGGGAAUAUUGCACAAUGGGGGAAACCCUGAUGCUGCGACGCCGCGUGAGUGAAGUAUAUAAUUCGUUACGUAUAGCUCUAUCCGCAGGGAAGAAAUACUGACCUUACGGUCAGC